rnacentral:misc_RNA from 1 species
GUGAAUCAUCGAAUUUUUGAACGCAAAUUGCACUCUUUUCGGAGAGUAUGCCUGCUUGAGGGUCAGUAUCAAUAAAAAUCGGUGUGUUGCUUUUUUGUUACGCCCCGGAGUUCGGGUCAUCUUCCUAUCCUUUAGGUUUUAAGAGGCUUAGCAUUGACUUUCUUCGCGCAUAUUAGCUGUACAUCAAUUC